GACGAACGCUGGCGGCGUGCUUAACACAUGCAAGUCGAACGGAAAUUAAAGAAUCAGUUUACUGAAUUUUUAAUUUUAGUGGCGGACGGGUGAGUAACGCGUGGGUAACCUACCCUAAAUCCCGGGACAACAGCUGGAAACGGCUGCUAAUACCGGAUAAGCUCAUUUGGAGGCAUCUCUGGAUGAGGAAAGGUGGCCUCUUCUAUGCUACCGAUAAAGGAUGGACCCGCGUCUGAUUAGCUAGUUGGUAAGGUAACGGCUUACCAAGGCAACGAUCAGUAGCCGGCCUGAGAGGGUGACCGGCCACACUGGGACUGAGACACGGCCCAGACUCCUACGGGAGGCAGCAGUGGGGAAUCUUCCGCAAUGGGCGCAAGCCUGACGGAGCAACGCCGCGUGAAUGAAGAAGGCCUUCGGGUCGUAAAGUUCUGUCGUAAGGGAAGAAGUCUCUUUAUGUGAAUAAUGUAAAGAGUUGACGGUACCUUUCGAGGAAGCUCCGGCUAACUACGUGCCAGCAGCCGCGGUAAUACGUAGGGAGCAAGCGUUGUCCGGAAUUACUGGGCGUAAAGGGCGCGUAGGCGGGGUUAUAAGUUAGGUGUGAAAACGUAGGGCUUAACUUUACGAUUGCACUUAAAACUGUAAUUCUUGAGUACAGGAGAGGAAAGUGGAAUUCCUAGUGUAGCGGUGAAAUGCGUAGAUAUUAGGAGGAACACCAGUGGCGAAGGCGACUUUCUGGACUGUAACUGACGCUGAGGCGCGAAAGCGUGGGGAGUGAACGGGAUUAGAUACCCCGGUAAUCCACGCUGUAAACGAUGGGUACUAGGUGUAGGAGGUAUCGACCCCUUCUGUGCCGGAGUUAACGCAAUAAGUACCCCGCCUGGGGAGUACGGCCGCAAGGCUGAAACUCAAAGGAAUUGACGGGGACCCGCACAAGCGGUGGAGCAUGUGGUUUAAUUCGACGCAACGCGAAGAACCUUACCAGGGCUUGACAUCCCUUGACGUCUGUAGAGAUACAGAGUUUUAUCUUUCGGGAUAGACAAGGAGACAGGUGGUGCAUGGUUGUCGUCAGCUCGUGUCGUGAGAUGUUGGGUUAAGUCCCGCAACGAGCGCAACCCCUACUUUUAGUUGCCAUCAUUAAGUUGGGCACUCUAAAGGAACUGCCGGUGACAAACCGGAGGAAGGUGGGGAUGACGUCAAAUCAUCAUGCCCUUUAUGUCCUGGGCUACACACGUGCUACAAUGGUCGGUACAGAGGGCAGCGAAGGAGCGAUCUGGAGCGAAUCCCAAAAAGCCGAUCCCAGUUCGGAUUGCAGGCUGCAACUCGCCUGCAUGAAGUCGGAAUCGCUAGUAAUCGCGAGUCAGCAUAUCGCGGUGAAUACGUUCCCGGGUCUUGUACACACCGCCCGUCACACCACGAAAGUUGGCAACACCCGAAGUCGAUGAGCUAACCGCAAGGAAGCAGUCGCCGAAGGUGGGGCUGAUGAUUGGGGUG
rnacentral:rRNA from 1 species